CCUACGGGAGGCAGCAGUGAGGAAUAUUGGUCAAUGGACGCAAGUCUGAACCAGCCAUGCCGCGUGCAGGAAGACGGCUCUAUGAGUUGUAAACUGCUUUUGUACGAGGGUAAACGCAGAUACGCGUAUCUGUCUGAAAGUAUCGUACGAAUAAGGAUCGGCUAACUCCGUGCCAGCAGCCGCGGUAAUACGGAGGAUUCAAGCGUUAUCCGGAUUUAUUGGGUUUAAAGGGUGCGUAGGCGGUCGGAUAAGUUAGAGGUGAAAUCCCGAGGCUAAACUUCGGAAUUGCCUAUGAUACUGUUCGGCUAGAGAGUAGUUGCGGUAGGCGGAAUGUAUGGUGUAGCUGUGAAAUGCUUAGAGAUCAUACAGAACACCGAUUGCGAAGGCAGCUUACCAAGCUACUUCUGACGUUGAGGCACGAAAGCGUGGGGAGCAAACAGGAUUAGAUACCCCAGUAGUC
rnacentral:rRNA from 1 species